rnacentral:rRNA from 1 species
GAUGAACGCUAGCGGCAGGCUUAACACAUGCAAGUCGAGGGGUAGAGGAAGCUUGCUUCCUUGAGACCGGCGCACGGGUGCGUAACGCGUAUGCAACCUACCUUUUACAGAGGGAUAGCCCAGAGAAAUUUGGAUUAAUACCUCAUGGUAUAUAUCAUUCGCAUGUUUGAUAUAUUAAAGUUCCAACGGUAAAAGAUGGGCAUGCGUCCUAUUAGCUAGAUGGUAAGGUAACGGCUUACCAUGGCAACGAUAGGUAGGGGUCCUGAGAGGGAGAUCCCCCACACGGGUACUGAGACACGGACCAGACUCCUACUGGAGGCAGCAGUUAGGAAUAUUGGACAAUGGGCGCAAGCCUUAUCCAGCCAUGCCGCGUGCAGUAAGAAGCAUCUAUGGUGUGUAAACUGCUUUUGUACGGGAAGAAACACUCCUUCGUGAAGGAGCUUGACGGUACCGUAAGAAUAAGGAUCGGCUAACUCCGUGCCAGCCGCCGCGGUAAGAC